GUGAGGAAUUUUCCGCAAUGGGCGAAAGCCUGACGGAGCAAUGCCGCGUGAAGGAUGAAGGCCUAUGGGUUGUAAACUUCUUUUCUCAGAAAAGAAUUAUGACGGUAUCUGAGGAAUAAGCAUCGGCUAACUCUGUGCCAGCAGCCGCGGUAAGACAGAGGAUGCAAGCGUUAUCCGGAAUGAUUGGGCGUAAAGCGUCUGUAGGUUGUUUAAAAAGUAUUCUGUCAAAGAUUAGGGCUUAAACCUAGAUAGGCAGAAUAAACUUUUAAGCUAGAGUUUGGUAGAGGCAGAGGGAAUUCCCGGUGGAGCGGUGAAAUGCGUAGAUAUCGGGAGGAACACCAAAGGCGAAGGCACUCUGCUGGGCCAAUACUAACACUGAGAGACGAAAGCGAGGGGAGCAAAUGGGAUUAGAAACCCCAGUAGUCC
rnacentral:rRNA from 1 species